AAUCCGUGUUGUAGGCAUUGAGGAAGUAAACCCUUGUAUCGUUCUCAAGCCUUUGAAAAGCAUUCUAAGUUCAUUUGCUGAAAAGUAGUGAUAUCAUCCCUUAGCUU
rnacentral:snoRNA from 1 species